rnacentral:sRNA from 1 species
CACUUUUGAGAGCAUUGAGUUGAUAGUUUUAGUUAGGGUUUCGAGUUUAGUCGAGAAUUUCGUGAGGAGUGUUGUUGUUGCACUUUGUAAACACAGAGAGAAAUAAUAAAGUUGUCAUCUACUUUGAGAGUUCUUCGAUUCGUGUUUUCUCGGGUGCAGCGGUCCAACUGACGGGACACCGGUGGUCAGACCGGCGGUAUCGCGGUGGUCCGAUCGGCGGCAUACCUGCGGUCAGACCGGCGACGGCUUCAGGAGGCAGGGUUUGAUCUCGGCGGUUCGACCUGUAUUACUACCUCGGUCAGACCAACGAUCUUUGGGCAGUCAAACCGUUACGACUACUUCGGUCAGACCGCAAUCCGUCGAAUUUGAGGUAACUUUUAUUUCCACUAAAAGUUUUGGGUUUUUGUGUAUACCAACCAUUCACCCUCCCCUCUGGUUGGCUUAGUUCUUAUGAUUCGAUCCUACAAUCAGAAUCCAAAAAAUCAUAUUAAUACUCAUUGACUAUAUAUAUAUAGACACACACAUGUUUCUUGGUUUCAUCACAUGAUGGAUAAGUUAAUUACUUCUCAAUAUUAUUGACAAAAGAAAUAUAUACUUUGGGAUGGAGGGAUAGCGUAUACGAGAUUUAAUUAGUUAUACAUAUCUCUAAUAUUUUUAAAAACCAACUCUUCGUUCUCCUUCCCAACCAUCGCAUUUUCCCAUAUAAAAAGCCCACACUAGCUACCUCAAAAUCCUAACGCACCAAAAAACAGGUAAUCCCACG